GACGAACGCUGGCGGCGUGCCUAAUACAUGCAAGUAGAACGCUGAAGGAGGAGCUUGCUUCUCUGGAUGAGUUGCGAACGGGUGAGUAACGCGUAGGUAACCUGCCUGGUAGCGGGGGAUAACUAUUGGAAACGAUAGCUAAUACCGCAUAAGAGUAGAUGUUGCAUGACAUUUGCUUAAAAGGUGCAAUUGCAUCACUACCAGAUGGACCUGCGUUGUAUUAGCUAGUUGGUGAGGUAACGGCUCACCAAGGCGACGAUACAUAGCCGACCUGAGAGGGUGAGCGGCCACACUGGGACUGAGACACGGCCCAGACUCCUACGGGAGGCAGCAGUAGGGAAUCUUCGGCAAUGGACGGAAGUCUGACCGAGCAACGCCGCGUGAGUGAAGAAGGUUUUCGGAUCGUAAAGCUCUGUUGUAAGAGAAGAACAAGUGUGAGAGUGGAAAGUUCACACUGUGACGGUAUCUUACCAGAAAGGGACGGCUAACUACGUG
rnacentral:rRNA from 1 species